ACAUGUUCUACGCGGGUCAAAAUGUAGUAUCCAUCCUUAUGAGCUUGAUAUCUGAUACGGGUUGUAUUUUGACGCAAGAUAUUAAACUUACUUUUGUGAGGUGGCGAAGUGCUUGAAGCCUCCUUCAGCUCCGUCGCAGCUCGGCCCGGUAUUGCAAGAUGUUCGGGAUUUUCAGUUUAUGCUUU